rnacentral:lncRNA from 1 species
CAAACAUUAGCUGGUGCGGUGGCACGGGCCUGUAGUCCUAUCUGCUCUGGAGGCUGAGGUGGGAGGGUCACUUGAGCCUAGGAGGUGGAGGCUGCAGUGAGCUGUGAUCAUGCCACUGCACUGGGUGACAGAGGGAGACCCUGUCACACACAAACACACAUACACACACACCAUGGACUUAGAAAAAAUUCCAGGAUACUU